CCAUCCUGGUGGAUGCGCGGGGUACCCGUGAUCGGGCCAUCCCAGUGGAUGCUCAGGGUACCCAGUGAUCCGGCCACCCGGUGGAUGCGCGGGGUACCCAAGAUCGUGCCAUCCCAGUGGGUGCGCAGGGUACCCAGUGAUCCGGCCAUCCCGAUGGAUACGCGGGGUACCCAAGAUCCGGCCAUCUCGGUGGAUACGCGGGGUAUCCAUGAUCCGGCCAUCUCAGUGGAUGCGCGGGGUACCCACGAUCCGGCCAUCCUGGUGGGUGUGCCAGGUACACAGAGAUCCGGCCAUCCCCGUGGGCGCGCCGGGUAUCCAGCACAGAGCAUCAACAAGGAAGUCUGGACCACUGCAGACUGAGACUCCUGGCACCCAGGUUUUCUUCUGAAAUGGAGGACUCUGCUCUUCUGCCCAAGAAUAGUUCAAACUUCUUUCUCCCCAGGAUCCUGGCUUCCUAGGAGAGUAGAAGAAGAGGAAUCCCCCUACAGGGAGAUGUGUGACCUAAAUGAGUAUUUAUUUAUGAGCCUGCAGUUUGACUUCCUAUGAGCGGGCGAGUGCCAUCUUUACCAUUGACUGGCAUUCCUCUCAACCCUUCCUCACCACAGUGUAAUAAAAUGUGAAGCUUUGGUGUUUGGGAAAUGCCAAAUUGACAGUUCACCAGAUGUCAUUUCUUUCUGGGUGGCCCUGCGUGUUCUAAUCUCCUGGCCCAUGCAGAUGGUUCCCAAUAUGGAUCCCGAUAUGCAAACACCCCCAUCCUCAGGAGCUGAUUCUUUGGGGUCAGAUGAAAUCCUACAGGAAGCAUCACAGCACAUACACUAACCAAAAUGCUGGAGCCUGGGCUAAUGAAGGUGGUGCUCUUAGAAUGUGGUACAAGCAAGUUAUAAAAGGGAGCAUGGUAAAAUAACCAACAAGGGUGUUGCAGGAUUCCAUAGCACUCUGGGACUGGAUCUGCUUUGCCUACCUUAUGGGUAUCAAGUCCUUCCAAAUGUGACUCUUAAGCAGGGGACUAUCUAUUCUCUGAAAGAG